GGAAAGUUUGGUUUAAUCAACAAAGGAACAGAGAAUUUGCCGCAAACUCGAAUUUAAAAUCCCUCUUUCUUUGCAACCUGAUGGUGUUAACCUUUGAAAUUUCAAGUUUUCGUUAAUUUUAGUUUAAAUGGAUUAUUUGCGUUUGCAAUAUCAUCAUCAUUCAUUUUGAGAAAGAGGAAUUCAUUCAGUAAUCUAUUUUUUGGAGAGAUAACAGAAUAAAAGAUAAAAAUUAACGACAAAAGAAUUUAAAAUCAUCCUUAUCUUUUAUUGUAGAGAAUAAACAUGAAGGUUCGGAAAAUGUUGAUGAUAAAGUGAAGAAGGAAGUUGACCAAGAAAACAGAAAGAAAUGGAAUUCUUGAAAUUCUGAUUGUUGAUGGCCAGCAAAGAAUAACAACAACCUUUAUUUUGUUGGCAGCUGUUCUGCAGUUUGGAAAUACUUUUCAGCUCUCCUCAGACACAACAUAGUGGGAGUUGUUGAAAUCUGAUCUAAACCAGUGUUUACAAUUCAAUAAUGAUUUGAAAUUGAUUCCAUCUAUUCCGGAUCGGGCUGCAUACAGAGAAGCGAUACUUCGUGGAAACAUUGAUGAAUAUAAAGACUCUUGUCAGGUUAAAGCAAUGGCAAUAUUAAAAAGAAAUCUUGAAAAUCUUCUUGAGAUGGAAUUUAAAGAAUUUGAGCCGUGGUUUAAAUCUACCAAAACCGGGUUUAAAUUAAGUGCCAGCUUAAAUCUUGAAACAUUUGAUACAAAUUUAAGUGGAACCUACCAUAUUUAAGCCACGGCUUAAAUUUAAACCGCCGCUCAAAUUCUUGAAAUUCGGCCAUUGAUUCUUUUACCAAAGAUUCUGAAAAAAAUAGAUCAGCUGAAAAGGAUAGGUAAACUUUGGGUAAACUUAAGAAAAAAUAUCGCAACAAAAUGCAAAAUCAUCCAAUAUCUUAGUUUUAGUGAUUUCGGCACUGGACUUCAUGUGCCUAAUGCUGGUUAACAGAAGCAGAUAAUUUGGCAGAGAUGUUUCAAUGGUAUCAGGAAAAGUCGCUGCUUUGACUGGCAGCACUUCUGAAGGGUAUUCCUGGAGUUCAAUUUGCAGCUAUAGAUCUUGUCCGGAACUUUGUUAUGUCAACUGCACUUUGUAGGUACAGUGGUCUGCAAUAUAUAGUGGUGUAAAACUGAAGAAUAUAAAU